rnacentral:tRNA from 1 species
UCCCUGGUGAUCCAGCGGUUAGGACUCUGUGCUUCCAAUGCAGGGGGCAUGGGUUUGAUCCCUGGUCAGGGAA